rnacentral:lncRNA from 1 species
GCAGAGAGCCCAUGUUGGAAACAAGCAGCUCUGCAAGGUGUGGGCCCACUGUCUGACUCCCUGCGGGGCUGCUGCCUUGGAAGAGCCUCCUGCUUAGAGAGGUUCUCCUGCCGCCAGCUGUCUCUCCUGAGUCCUGAGCACCACAUCUCUGGACCGUCUGGAGCCUCCCCUCCCUUGGCUUACUGCUCCCACCACCCUCUCUCUCCACCUUGCAAGAGACACUCUCCCUCAUCCUGGGUCAUCACCCUCUUUAGAGGCGCCGCCUGGCCACGAGGUGGGCAGGAUCUUGGCCUUACUUGAUGCAGUGCACACCUCCAACAGGCAUCAGAUGGAGUGCAGCCGGGAGCAAGAUUCUCAUAGCAAUUACAAAGAUUCACAAGAAAAUGUGCCCUCCACUACACAGCUGUAAUUUACAUGCUUUCAAACUUGAUAUGGAAUGACUGUGGUUUCCCCUGAAAGAAGCAUCACUGAUCUCUGCACAGGAGAAACAAGGCUGGAGUGCAAUGGCACACUCACGGCUCACUGCAGCGUCAAACUCCCAGGCUCAAGUGUUCCUCCUACCUCAGCCUCCUGAGUAGCUAGGACCACAGGCCCAGACACAAAGCAGAUGUGCAGUGGAGUGUGAAAGAGGCAGCCAACUCACUGGGGAGCUUCAGAGGGAGAUGGCCCAAAUUGCUGGGGCCUAAGAAUCUCCCGGAAUGAAGGAACAGUAGAAAGAACUGGAAGCCAAAUAUGGUGAUAGAGACUCUCAUCAAGGACACUGAGUAAACCAGAAACCUGCUUGGGCUCACGUUCCUUGUCUCUUCUUCUCAGAUCCAGGAAAGGAGCUGUCCAGGACAAUGAGGAUAGGCUGAGGAAAGACAGGCCACGGCCUUGCCUCUGUGCCAGCUCUCAUGGGCCAGGCAGAGUAUCCCAGGACAACUGCCUCCACAACCAGCUCCAUCCUUCAUCAGCAAUUCAGUACCUGAUUAACAAAUCUGUACCCCAGGAGGUUAUGCCAAGUCCAACUUCUUCCAGAGACCACAACAAUAAAUCCAAGCCACUGCUAAUGUCAUUUAUAAGCUGUGGGAUUAAAACAGAGAAGCAAUCAAUUAAUUAAAAUUAGCUCUUUAUUGAAA